rnacentral:rRNA from 1 species
GACGAACGCUGGCGGCGUGCUUAACACAUGCAAGUCGAACGGAGAUUCAGCAAUGGAUCUUAGUGGCGAACGGGUGAGUAACGCGUAGGCAAUCUGCCUUCUAGAUGGGGACAACAUCCCGAAAGGGGUGCUAAUACCGAAUGUUGUAGUUGGUUCGCAUGGACUAGCUACUAAAGGUGGCCUCUGAAUAUGCUACCGCUAGAAGAUGAGCCUGCGUCUGAUUAGCUAGUUGGAGGGGUAACGGCCCACCAAGGCUUCGAUCAGUAGCCGGUCUGAGAGAAUGAACGGCCACACUGGGACUAGGACACGGCCCAGACUCCUACUGGAGGCAGCAGUGGGGAAUCUUCCGCAAUGGACGAAAGUCUGACGGAGCAACGCCGCGUGAGUGAAGAAGGUUUUCGGAUCGUAAAGCUCUUUCGUUAGGGACGAACGUGCUCUCUGUGAAUAAUGAGGAGUAAUGACGGUACCUAAAUAAGAAGCCACGGCUAACUACGUGCCAGCCGCCGCAGUAA